GGCGGACGGGUGAGUAUGUCUGGGAAACUGCCCGAUGGAGGGGGAUAACUACUGGAAACGGUAGCUAAUACCGCAUAACGUCGCAAGACCAAAGAGGGGACCUUCGGGCCUCUUGCCAUCGGGUGUGCCCAGAUGGGAUUAGCUAGUAGGUGGGGUAACGGCUCACCUAGGCGACGAUCCCUAGCUGGUCUGAGAGGAUGACCAGCCACACUGGAACUGAGACACGGUCCAG
rnacentral:rRNA from 1 species